AAUAUUGCACAAUGGGGGAAACCCUGAUGCAGCGACGCCGCGUGAGUGAAGAAGGUCUUCGGAUUNUCAAGCACUUUAAGUUGGGANGAAGGGUUGUAGGUUAAUACUUUGCAAUUUUGACGUUACCAACAGAAUAAUCACCGGCUAACUUCGUGCCAGCAGCCGCGGUAAUACGAAGGGUGCAACCGUUAAUCGGAAUUACUGGGCGUAAAGCGCGCGUAGGUGGUUUUGUAAGCGCGAGGUGAAAGGCUAUGGCUCAACCAUAGUAAGCCUUGCGAACUGCGAGACUUGAGUGCAGGAGAGGAAAGUGGAAUUCCUAGUGUAGCGGUGAAAUGCGUAGAUAUAGGAAGGAACACCAGUGGCGAAGGCGACCACCUGGGCUAAUACUGACACUGAGGUGCGAAAGCGUGGGGAGCAAACAGG
rnacentral:rRNA from 1 species